rnacentral:lncRNA from 1 species
CUCUUCUGUUAGGUCCACAAGCAAAUAGUUUUUUUAAAAACAAAUCUAGAAGGGGAGUGUAAAAUUGAGGCUUUGUCCAUCACUGCAGGACGACGGUAAAGUUGUUUUUAUUCUUUUACCAGAGAAAAGGGAAAGAAAAGAAAAAGAAACGUGAUGAGUGUUAGAUCGAGUAAUUCAUUCUUCACUGCAUCCGGUAGAAAAAAUUAUCAAAAUAUUUUUUUAAUAUUAUAACAUUCUAUUACUUUUUAAUAAAACGUAACAAGAUGUUAUAGAAUACAAAUAAAAGAUUAUAAUAAUCAUGAUAUCCCGUUAAUUUUUAUGACAUCUCGAUAGUUAUUUAAAAGAUAUAACAGGAUAUUAUAAUAAUAUUAUAAUAUCUUAUUAAUUUUUAUAAUAUUUUAAUAAUUAUAUAUAAAAUAUAAUAAGAUCAUAAAAUAUAACAUCAUAUCAUGCCAUAAUUAUGAUAUGCCGUUAUUACCUACGGCAUCUUGAUCGAGCAAAAUAGAAUAAAAAAAAUAUAUUUUAAUUAAAAAAAUUAAAAAUUAAAUUAUAUUAAAUAUCUAUCUUUUUAUUAAUUAUGCUGCAUAGUCCAAUUCAAAGCAGUAUAUUUUUUCUCCCCGGCAGAUGCUGUACAAAGAAUCUCUGUUUAGAUUGAACCUGGUACGGAAUUUGAACACUAACAAAGAAAAUAACUUCUUCUUCUUUUUUCCGUGGCAACAUCCUAAUGUUUUUGUUAAGGAGCAGGCGACCUGUUGGAUAUGCAACUGGGAACAAAGAAGUCAUUUCGUUCGGUAGAUCUGGAGUUAGAGUCCAGCAGUAUGGUCUGGGCAAAAGAACCACACUGCUGAGCUGAUAGGUGGCCAAUAGAGUGUAGUUUCUCUACCACAAUAGUCCAUGUGGAAAGUAUGAGAAAAGAGGAAUAGUUUCUUUUUAACUUAAUACUUUGCCAUUACAUGUCUCCAAACAGCUCAGGGGUAUUCCCCUCCACAAUGUAAUACAUCUUUUCUCUUCUGUAAGCAAGCUUGAGACCAAACAACAAAGAUGUUGCGAAACAUAAUAAAUGGGUGAGGUAAAUCAAACAAAAAGGGAUGACUAAAAUCAAGAACCAUUUGGGACCAGAGGAGAGAUGGCAGCAGCAGACACAAUGUGAUUAUUGUAACCACGUAGACACAGAUAUGUAUCUAUAUACUGGUCUGAUCUAGGCAGUGGGUUUCUCCAACUUGAGGGGCUUCACCACCUCCCAGGUGAAGUCGGGGUCAUCCCUACCAAAAUGCCCAUAAGCAGCUGUCUUCAAGAACCUCCCGCUGCCACCCCUCUUCAAGUCAAGGUCGAUGAUGAUCAUCCCAGGCCUAAAAUCGAAGUUCUCCUUCACAAUCUUCAAGAUCUCCUUAUCCGGAAUCUUGCCUGUGCCACAGGUAUCCACAAAC